rnacentral:rRNA from 1 species
GAUGAACGCUGGCGGCGUGCCUAAUACAUGCAAGUCGAACGAGGUGCCUUUGUAGCAAUACGAAGGUAUCCUAGUGGCGAACGGGUGAGUAACGCGUUGGUGACCUACCCCAAAGUGUGGGAUAACAGAUCGAAAGAUCUGCUAAUACCGCAUGUGGUCUUCGGAUUUAGAAACUGAUGACUAAAGGAGCAAUUCGCUUUGGGAGGGACCUGCGUCCCAUCAGCUAGUUGGUGAGGUAAUGGCUCACCAAGGCUACGACGGGUAGGGGACCUGAGAGGGUGGCCCCCCACAAUGGAACUGAAACACGGUCCAUACACCUACGGGUGGCAGCAGUAGGGAAUAUUGCACAAUGGGCGAAAGCCUGAUGCAGCAACGCCGCGUGUGCGAUGAAGGCCUUGGGUCGUAAAGCACUUUUCUGAGGGAUGAGCAAGGACAGUACCUCAGGAAUAAGUCUCGGCUAAACUACGUGCCAGCAGCCGCGGUAAU